UGACCAGACUCCUACGGGAGGCAGCAGUCGGGAAUAUUGCACAAUGGAGGAAACUCUGAUGCAGUGACACCGCGUAUAGGAAGAAGGUUUUCGGAUUGUAAACUAUUUUAGACAGGGAAGAAAAAAGACAGUACCUGUAGAAUAAGCUCCGGCUAACUACGUGCCAGCAGCCGCGGUCAUACGUAGGAUCCGAGCAUUAUCCGGAGUGACUGGGUGUAAAGAGUUGCGUAGGUGGCAUAAUAAGUAGCUAGUGAAAUCUGGUGGCUCAACCAUUCAGACUAUUAGCUAAACUGUUAAGCUCGAGACCGUUAGGGGUAACUGGAAUUUCUAGUGUAGGAGUGAAAUCCGUAGAUAUUAGAAGGAACACCAAUAGCGUAGGCAGGUUGCUGGGACGGUUCUGACACUAAGGCACGAAAGCGUAGGGAGCAAACGGGAUUAGAUACCCCAGUA
rnacentral:rRNA from 1 species